GAAAGAAAUUCGCACAAGGAUGGAGAAUGAAACAUUUGAAUAAAAAUUAGACUAAAUGUUGAUGGUAGUUAGGUAAUAGAUUGGCGGUGAUAUAAUAUUCGGGAUGGUUGGCGGCGUGGCGGAACAGUUUCUAUUUGAAGAUGAGAUGCAAUGGUGGAUGUGCUAUAAAGAUAGGAAAUGCAGUACGUUUGUUGGCAAACAAGUAGAGGUCGUGUUUGUAUGUAACGUGAGGUUCACAUCGACACGUCCAAUGAGGCAAUAUACAUUGUGUUAGUUUGGCCGGGUACUUAGGCUAGUGGAUACACUUUGAAGUAACCAAUAUUCGCUGGACGUCGAUUCAAUAUACAUCACUAAAUACUUUUUAGACAACGUGAAAUUGAUCAUAGAUCGUGACGUACGAUCUUUCAUAAUUUUCGAUAUCUUCACGUGCACACAAAAUGUUACUAAAUUUAUCCUUCUUAUACGAUAUAUAAUCCACGAUUACUAACUAACUUAUUAAAUUUCCCCUCCCUCGAAUCUAAGCCUUCGAAUCUAACGUAUCGUAAUUACAUACGAUUUCAUCUAAUUUGUACACAAUUUCGUAAUUAUUUCAAGUUGCUUAAAUUUCCAAUUUCAUCUCUCCAAUUUUACAUUACUCAUCGAUCACUGUACACCGAACAAAAGUUGUUGGGAUUCGAUCAACACACUAGGCUAUCUCUUUCAAGAACCAGAUCUUAGAUCUCUCCAUCCGAUCUGUCCAUCAAAAAAGAUCCACAAUAAAACGUUUCACGAUUUUCGAUUUCGGCUAGUCCUUUUUAGCUUUAUCGGUCACACAACACUUUCAUUUUCUACAGCUCCCAUUAAUCUCGUUUCACACUGUAUGUAUACAUGUAGUUAUCGUCGGUCACAGAAACACUAUAUAUUGGUAUCAGAAACAUCCUGUGUUCACCUGAUGAUAUUGUUCGCAAGGCAAGCAGAGACUUACCAAUGCUUCUUCUCGAUUAUCCUUCUUCCUCUUCUUUCUUUACCGAAUUCUUCCAAUUCUUCUUCUUCUCCCCGUACAAACCAACCACCAGCGCGGACUGGGUCCUGCUGCUUGCACUUUGCGAUUCUACGAUCGGCCACGCGCGAGUGUGUGGCGGGUCGAACAAUGGAAAGGGAAAAAAAAAAAAAA